CCAGACAGCCAGGAUGUUGGCUUAGAAGCAGCCAUCAUUUAAAGAAAGCGUAAUAGCUCACUGGUCGAGUCGGCCUGCGCGGAAGAUGUAACGGGGCUAAACCAUGCACCGAAGCUGCGGCAGCGACACUAUGUGUUGUUGGGUAGGGGAGCGUUCUGUAAGCCGUUGAAGGUGGCCUGUGAGGGUUGCUGGAGGUAUCAGAAGUGCGAAUGCUGACAUAAGUAACGAUAAUGCGGGUGAAAAACCCGCACGCCGGAAGACCAAGGGUUCCUGUCCAACGUUAAUCGGGGCAGGGUGAGUCGACCCCUAAGGCGAGGCCGAAAGGCGUAGUCGAUGGGAAACAGGUUAAUAUUCCUGUACUUGGUGUUACUGCGAAGGGGGGACGGAGAAGGCUAUGUUGGCCGGGCGACGGUUGUCCCGGUUUAAGCAUGUAGGCGGAUGUUCCAGGUAAAUCCGGAACGUUAUUAACGCUGAGGUGUGAUGACGAGGCACUACGGUGCUGAAGUGACAAAUGCCCUGCUUCCAGGAAAAGCCUCUAAGCAUCAGGUAACAUCAAAUCGUACCCCAAACCGACACAGGUGGUCAGGUAGAGAAUACCAAGGCGCUUGAGAGAACUCGGGUGAAGGAACUAGGCAAAAUGGUGCCGUAACUUCGGGAGAAGGCACGCUGAUGGUAAGUGAAGUGACUUGCUCAUGGAGCUGAAAUCAGUCGAAGAUACCAGCUGGCUGCAACUGUUUAUUAAAAACACAGCACUGUGCAAACACGAAAGUGGACGUAUACGGUGUGACGCCUGCCCGGUGCCGGAAGGUUAAUUGAUGGGG
rnacentral:rRNA from 1 species